rnacentral:rRNA from 1 species
GAUGAACGCUGGCGGCGUGCCUAAUACAUGCAAGUCGAGCGAACGGACGAGAAGCUUGCUUUUCUGAUGUUAUCGGCGGACGGGUGAGUAACACGUGGUUAACCUACCUAUAAGACUGGGAUACCUUCGGGAAACCGGAGCUACUACCGGAUAAUAUUUUGAACCGCAUGGUUCAAAAGUGAAAGACGGUCUUGCUGUCACUUAUAGAUUGAUCCGCGCUGCAUUAGCUAGUUGGUAAGGUAACGGCUUACCAAGGCAACGAUGCAUAGCCGACCUGAGAGGGUGAUCGGACACACUGGAACUGAGACACGGUCCAGACUCCUACGGGAGGCAGCAGUAGGGAAUCUUCCGCAAUGGGCGAAAGCCUGACGGAGCAAAGCCGCGUGAGUGAUGAAGGACUUCGGAUCGUAAAACUCUGUUAUUAGGGAAGAACAUAUGUGUAAGUAACUGUGCACAUCUUGACGGUACCUAAUCAGAAAGCCACGGCUAACUACGUG